rnacentral:sRNA from 1 species
GGAUUCCAGUAGAGCGGAGCUGACCCUAUCCGAGCAGGCCCCUGCCCUGCUUGGAUAGAGGCCUCCGGACAGAAGUAAAGAAUGGCUGUUGAACAUCCACAAGGCACCUGCAAGAUCCCCACAGGCGCUGCCUGAGACCCAGCUCUGUGUCUCCUCAUCGUACAGCUUGCGGAGCUCCACCUGCAAGGCCAUCAGCAUGCCCAGGCAGGGGUUAAGCUGGAGGGCCAUGGAGGAGGACAGGCCAGCAGGAUGCCACCUCUGCUCCAGGGCAUGCACCAUGUUGGCUCAUGCCUGUAAUCCAGCACUUUGGGAGGCCGAGGUGGGCAGAUCACCUGAGGUUGGGAGUUGAAGACCAGCCCGACCAGCAUGGAGAAACCCCGUCUCUACUAAAAAUACAAAAAUUAGCCGGGCGUAGUGGCACAUGCCUGUAAUCCCAGCUACUCGGGAGGCUGAGGCAGGAGAAUCGCUUGAAUCCAGAAGGUGGAGGUUGUGGUGAGCCGAGAUCAUGCCAUUGCACUCCAGCCUGGGCAACAAGAGUGAAACUCCGUCUCAAAAAAAAAAAAAAAUUUGUCUACUACAGU